UUUAAAGCUACCAACGUGUUUCAUAAAGUCAUAGUCUUGAAUCAAGCCAAGUUUCACAACCUACACAACGCAUUCACUGACGUACAUGUACUGUACAUGUACAUUGUACAUGUACGUUAGUACGUGUAACAGGCAAAUUACAGCAGAUGGGUUUUGAGCAGAGACUAAAAGUCGAUGCAUUGACAUUCGGCCAUUAAUGCAUUCGGCUUACGAUUUCAUUUCUAUGGCGCGCCAAUGUGGCCGCAAUUCCAAGUUCGUCUAAUUUUUCUCUUUUCAGCUUCAAUGUAGACAAGUCGGCCAGCAAAGACGCGAACGUCCUACAUGUAUCAAAACUCAUCCCCUUUUUUUCAAACACACAUCAUGGACAAACUACCUUCUUAAUGUGCGUUCUGUUAUCCUAAUUUAUAGUGAAAAUUACCAAUUGCCAAGUUACCCAAAGGAAACGAGAUUUGGAAUAUCAACCCUAGCUUCAGAACUGAUACUGAAAAUAAUUUACGAUAGGGAGAAUCCAAUUUCUCAAAUACAUAAUGCAAUUAAUUAAACAAAGAAUUUUUAUGAGUAGGUCACUGAAAUUUCAUUCAUUUAUUUUAACACUCUCCUUAAUAUCAACAGGGGUAUAACAACGUACAUAUUUUAACAAUUAAACAAAAAUCAUCUUAUGACUUGAUAUUCAACUGAAAACCAUAAACAUUUUUGUGUAUUCAUUUACAAUAACAACAAAAGUUGACUGCUUGAUCCAAAAGUUACGGCUACGGCCAGCAGAAAUACAAGUCUUUGGGAAGUGGACCAACCGCUAGCUGGCGGUUCUCAUGGGAGUUGGCAAUAAGGACACCAGGACUGGUGAACGUUGACUGAAGGGAAACAACAAAGGGAUAUCCAUUCAGCUAGUGGAACACAUUACAAAAAAUGAGCUGGUGACAGCAGCUUCUUGCUGUGGUGGUCUGCAUCUAUCGUCUCUUGGGCCUUCCCAUCAUCUUCCUCGUCCUCGGGAAUGUUCU